UACGACUACAUAUCAGGCAUAUCAAUAAGCGGAGGAAAAGAAACUAACUAGGAUUCCCUUAGUAACGGCGAGUGAAGCGGGAAGAGCUCAAAUUUGAAAUCUUCAAGGUUUUACCUUGACGAAUUGUAGUUUAAAGAAGUGUUUUCUGUUGAGUGUUUCGGUAAAAGUUCUUUGGAAUAGGACAUCAUAGAGGGUGAGAAUCCCGUAUUUGACCAUUAUUUCAGCUGUGUGAUACACUUUCAAAGAGUCGGAUUGUUUGGGAAUGCAGUCCAAAAUGGGUGGUAAAUUUCAUCUAAAGCUAAAUAUUGGCGAGAGACCGAUAGCGAACAAGUACCGUGAGGGAAAGAUGAAAAGAACUUUGAAAAGAGAGUUAAACAGUACGUGAAAUUGUCAAAAGGGAAGCGUUUGACACCAGUGUUGUUUUCUCGAAAAUCAAUUAAAAAUGGCUUGAUUUUGUGUUGUAUUGACCUUAUAAGCUUUCUGCACUUUUUUCAUGUCUUUUUUAAUGCACUUUUCGUUUAACAAGUCAACAUCAGUUUCUUUUGUUGUAAAAAGGUCAUUGGAAGGUGGCUUUCUUUUCGGAGAAAGUGUUUAUAGCCUUUGACUCCUGCAAUCGGAGAGACUGAGGUCUGCAGCGUAGAUCCUUCUUGGAUUAGAUUCAUUUGUGCUAAGUUAUAGCUUUUUAUAGACAACUUGUUGACUAUAUUUAGUCUUGUAGCUUACUCGCUUAUGCAAUUUUACCUACGCUUAGGAUGUUGAACGCGCACAGAGUCUC
rnacentral:rRNA from 1 species